UAGCCCUUUUUAAGCCGGGGGCUACCUAGCCAACUGACGUUGUUAGUGAAUAUGAAUUGUUCACACAAAUUUUUAGCCAAUCAUCUCUUGAUUGGCUUUUUUUUG
rnacentral:sRNA from 1 species